rnacentral:rRNA from 1 species
UACGUAGGGUGCGAGCGUUACUCGGAAUUACUGGGCGUAAAGCGCACGUAGGCGGCUUUGUAAGUUAGAGGUGAAAGCCCAGGGCUUAACCCUGGAAUUGCCUUUAAGACUGCAUCGCUAGAAUCGUGGAGAGGUAAGUGGAAUUCCGAGUGUAGAGGUGAAAUUCGUAGAUAUUCGGAAGAACACCAGUGGCGAAGGCGACUUACUGGACACGUAUUGACGCUGAGGUGCGAAAGCGUGGGGAGCAAACAGG